UUUUAUUGUUUCGUUACGUGAUGGAAUUUGUCGUUCGAGGAUGAUAGAGAUCGAUGAGUGACUCUUUUUAUUUUUCAUUCUUUUUUUAUAUUUUUUUGGCAGGAGAUUAUGUCAAAAGACAUAAUUGGCUUGUUUGAAAUUAUUCCAAAUUCGAUAGAAGAAAUAAUUAUCGUAAUAAUUACAAACAAAAGUUAUUAUAUCGUACAAAUAGUUUAGUAUCUACUUUCUUCACCUUUUUAUUUUCGUUUCUUAUUUAGAAUAUAAUAUUAAUCAAAAAAUAUCUAGAAUUCUUUAUUAUUUUAAUCUCGAUUCGAUCUUACAAUAUCCUUAUUUCAUUUUUCGUUCCAUCGUACAAAUUAUUUUCUGCGCCUCAUCCCAGCAUCAUCAUUAUUCGCAUAAUGAUCGUCCAAUUAACAGCAACGCGUAUUUCGUUAAAGGAUCCAUUUCCCUUAAAUAUUUCCUCAAAUAUUUUCACACAAAAAGGCGAGCAAAUAUAAAUUACGACUGCUUAUAUGUAUCACGUGCUUCCUCGUGAGCCAGUGUUUCCCAGACCUUGGUCGCUUAACCUUCGAUUUCUAAAUAGCGUUGUGAAAUUUCUUUUGCAGCGUAAAUUAUGCAUACGAUACGCGUUUAAAUCAGAAUAAAAGCGUAACGUGAUCGGUGACUCGCGCUUUCGAUACUGAAUGAAAAUAUUACACGUGCACGCGAUAUCGUGAUGCGUAUUGUUACGGCCAUAAUGUGAUGGAACGUAAUGUUACGCGAUACGAAAGAGAAAACGUUACUUAUUCUCGAUAACUUGUUCUCGAGAGCAAAAGUCUUUGUCUAGAGUUUUCUCGGGGUGUAAAAUUCACUUCGUAGCUUUUACUUCGCAAUUCUUUCCUAGACAAAUCUACUGUUUAAUUUUCUGGACAAAUAAAAAUCUCUCUAGACAAAUUAUAUUGUCAUCCUUGUUAUAUACGUCGCGUUUCAAUCUUUCGCGCGAAAUUUCUUCCCUCCCUUAUUUUACCUUUAACUCAAACCUAACGGUACAACAAUGAACCUCUCUCAUAAAUCCUUCGAGAUCGUUCUUAGCUAUUAGUUUCAUUCUUGUUGGAUAAAAAGAGAGAGAAAGAGAGAGAAAAUAUUACUUAUACUAGAAAGGAAGGUGGUAGCAAAAAGGAAGCCCCCCUAACUUGAUGGCGCGUGUGCGUGUCGUCGUUAGGAAAUAAUUAUUGCUACAUCCUAAAAAGAUUCGCGAUAACGAGCUUGAUACAUUCAGCCUCUGAUUAUUUCGUUGAAUUGCAUUUACGUGAAGAUGGAAUCGAGAUGUGUGCAAAAAAAUAUGGCGGUGAGGAGGAUGAUUUUUGCAAGCAUCUACUUUUUCAUGGUUAUUUUAUUAUUCUUGUGAAUGCAUCCUGUUCAAAUAUCGUUAUGCUGAUUACUGGUACUUUGAACAACGAUUGAUAAUCGUAUGUUUCAAGUGCCAGUUUUCCGCUUCCUCGAUUCACGGAUGCUUCGAUCUUUCUUGUCCCUGAUUCAGAAAAUUUUCAUCUUCACUUUUUCGUUACGAUUCCAUUCAAUAUAUAAAGCAAUAAACUUUACUAGAAAAAAAACAAUUUAUUAAUAGUACAUUUUUACAAAUUACUGAUCUUCCCUCAUUUUUUUUCUCAAAUCUUCCAGUAUAUUUUAUUUUCUCGAGUUCACCAAUAUCAUCCCACCUAUUUUAAUCACUCUCCUUCUCCUCUACAUUAGCUCUACAUUAAACGGAAUAAAAUUAAAAAAAAAAAAGAUGCAGUCAUUAGAAGAUACACAGCUCCGUUCCUCGUACUCGCCACGAAUAUGCCUCGUUCAUUGUUUUACAGUAACGAAACGAGGCGCACACGUUGCGGGUUAAAUAACAACGAAAUACCUCGGGCCGCGUAUCCUAAGGGAACAAAAGUGGGGCCCGGUGGGCAUUAUGGCGGGAAAAACGGGUCAGAAUGCCAGGCGGAAUUCGAGCGGGCGCGUUCCGUCGUACCGAGAGUCGGCACGCUUAGAACUUAGUAAAUAAACGAGAAACACGGUGUAUAUAAUUGGGAAGGAAGACGGAAAGGUGGAGGAGACGCGGAUAAGAACGCGCGGCGGACGUCGUGUGCGUGGAUAGGGGUCGGUAGAAAAACGAUGGACGCGUAAAGAGGGGAAAAAUGAUUUCGCCUCGUAAAAAGGAUUUCGGAACGAAGCCGAGAGGCGGUAAUUACGGGUGAGCGAUCACCGAGUUUCGAAGAUGAAACGGAAGGGAAUUAGGGUAUUUGUUACCGAUUAUUGCGCUUACUUUUUUUUUUUUUCGUGAAUGACGUGAGUUGCAAAUGAAAUCGAAGACGAUCGAUUUUUUUAAAUAAAUUUUAAUCGAUUAUUAAUUCAUUUAGGAUUAAAAGCCUGAAACUUUUUUGUCUUUUUUUAAUUUAGAAAAUAAUUUUUGUUCGAAUUUGUGGUUUAUAUAUUUUAUAAUUAAAAUAAUUUUUUUUUUCGAUAAUUAAAAUCAUUUUCAAAAAUUUGCUUAUAUUAUUACGCCGUACAGGUACAUAGUUAGAUAUAAAAAUGUUUAUUUUAACAAAAACUUUGAAAGCAGUGGGCACAAUAAUUGGUAUAAACAUUCUAAAUAUCGAUGUAGAGGAAAUGAUUGAAAAAUUCAGAUAUAAUUUUUAAAAAUAUCGUUACUCGAGACAAAAUUACGUAUUAUCAAUCAUUAAAAUAUUUUGUUCGGUCGUGUAUCUAAAUUCUUAACUUCUGAAUCGAAUCUCUCGAGGCAACUGGUGUCUCCCUAUAGUCGAUCACGAUCGCCAUUCGGGACCCCCAAGCUUCGUACGCCGCUGUCUGUACAUUGUAAUUUUCCUUUCUUGCCAAUUAAAGGCUUAAGUGCCGCGGCUGGAUAAUAAAGCUCGAACUAGCCACGGCAACCGGUACGACUAGCUUCUUCGAUGUGCCAUUUCUCUAUGCACCCAGGAAUGGUACUUAUUUGUGACGAAGCCGAAGACGAAGGGUUCACGCGAUCCGUGUUUUCCUUGGAAGUGUCGUUGAAGAGUUUGGUAUUUGAUGAGUGUACAAUAUUUCCGGUUAAAAAAUUUAUGAGUAUUAUGGAAUUUUAUUACAACGUUAACUACGAGAAGAAUAAUGGAGAAUUAGAAUAUUAUGGUUGGAUACUUUUUAUUCGAAUAAGGAAAUAGAAUAAUUUUAAAUGAAAAAUUAAAGACAAAAAAAAAUAAUAGAAUUUGAGACAAUCUUGAUAUUGAUUUUGAUUUGAAAUAAGUGAAGAAAUUUGAGCGAUUAAUAAUCAAAAUCGCUAAGCAAAAUGCAAUUAUAAUUUUUUAUGAUUUCAGAAUAAUAAUCAUUGCACAGAAAAGUGAUACAGAAAAUAUUGUAUUGAAAAAUAUUCAUAAAAUAAUUCAAACAAUAUCUUUUAAAUUAUCAUAUCGAAUUACUCAAACAAGGGAAACAAUUUUACCUCAUAUCAUAUCUUACCUAUUAUCCGUAACUACCUGUGCCAUCAUCUCGUAAAAUAAAUCAUCGAUAAUUAUUUCCAAUAUUUUUCGUACAUCCCAAAAAAGCACCACUUCGGAUAACUUUGAGAUACACUUUCGUUGAUACAUUUAUAACGAUGCUUAAAAAGAAGAAAAAAGGAAAAAGAAUAAAAAAAAGAAAAGGAAAGCUCGUACUCGGUGGCUGGUGAUUCUUUUUUUUUCUGAUCGGAUGUUUGAACAGCUAACAGAAAGAAAUUAAUCGAGGAUUCUGCAUUACAAUCACGGAAUGGCCACACAAAUCACGGGGUCUUGCAGUCCCUUUGGAUAGGGGCCAAAAAGUCGUUCAGCGUAUCGGAUGCUCAUUCAGAACGCAUCGAAACGCGUCGAUAAAUCAUACACUUCGUAUAAAUGACCCUCACGUAGGUCCGACGAAUAAUAAAUUUUUACGUCUUGCAUGGAUCUUUUCUUGCAUCGUCACUGGCAAAUGAAUUUUCUGCCAGCUGUUCGAUAUAACGAUAUUUUGCUCUUCAUUAAGAAAGCCGAGGAAGGGCAACGUUUGCAUCUUUUCAACUGGAUGAAGGUAAUUCAUCCUUGCAACUUUUGUGGAAAGCUUUUUUUCUCGUUUAUUGGCACCGAUGAUAAUUAAAAUUGUGAGAGGAGCCGAAUAAUAAUUAAUAAAAUAAAUUGAGAACAAGUUAAUCGAGUGCGUCCAAAUGUGAACAAGUUUUUUAAAAAUUGAUAGAGAUUUCUAGAGGCUUUCUGUAAUUAUAAGAACAAGUGAGGAACAAGUGUAGAUAUUUAAUGAAUUUUUGAGAAGUUAUUUAUUUUACACAAUUAUUCUAAUAACAAUUUAUUUCACGUAAAAUGGAUAAAUUAUAUGUAUUUAGAUAAUAAAUAAUAGAUAAUAAAAUAAAAGUAUUUAAGAGAUUCAAUAAACUGAAUUUCUCAAGAUUUAUAUUCAGAUGUUAAAAGAAUUCCAUAAAAAUCUCUUGCAACUUCUCUGCUUAAAUAUCAUCUCUUUUAAAUUCCUCUCAAUGAUUAUUUAUUCGAAUAAUUAUUACCAACAAUAUGUCACGAUGAGAAACGAAUCCAAAAAUAAAAAAGUAACUUCAACACCUGUCCAAAUAUAUCAAUUUUCCACUAAUCUCUCAAACUUGGACAAAUCAUCAUCCAUCACUUCACUGAAUCUUUGAAAAAUCACCUACCCACUGAUUAAUAUAAAUUUCUUCCCUUUACCAACCACAACGUAUCCGUAUGAAAAAUCGCUUUCACGCUUGCAACCUCGAAUUUAUUGCAAUUUUGCUACCUUCUCAUGCACACACACACAUUUAACAACAUAAAAGAUAAACACAUCUUUAAAACACGUAAGCUCCACGGGCAAAAAUGUCGCGUUAUCAUUUUUCUCUACAUUGUGCCGUCAUAUUUAUGCCAACCUCGUGGCCACCCCUCAAUUUGUCUUUUAAAAUCGUCGAAUCGUUUCGAGGGGGCCGUGCACCGCCGCAUAUGCAUUCACGAUUAUUCACUCUGUUGCAACAGGGCCGCCGUAAAUAACAUUUUUAUCUUCGAUACUCUUCCCUGUUAAACGAGCCCAUCGAGAUAAAGCCCUCCUCCCCUUGAUAGAUAUCCUCCACCUAUGUCAUAAUGAAUUCUUUUUUGCGCGGUGGCUGUGUGUGCGCUCUUUCGAGCGCAUUUCUUGGUACGUCUCCGCCCUGUUCGAGUCCAUCCCUGCUUCCCGACAUCCUCAUUAUUAUUAUCAUUAACUAUAAAAGGGAGGGAGGGAGAGGGAGUAAAGGGGUUACAGCGGUUUCACACUGGUUAUUCUCAGGAGAUUGUUUUACUCAAGAAGGUUUCAUGAUACAUUUAGUGCCCUCUAGCGUAACGAUUUGCCAACUAAUCGAUGUUGAAUUUAAAGUUUUAAAUUAUACACUUUUUUCUUUAUUUAUAAUUUUGCAAUUUCGAGGAUAGGAUAUAAAAUAAGAAUGAUUCGAAUUGUGAAAUAAAUUGCGUUUUUAUUAAGAGAUUUGUUAUGCAAGAGAACUCGUUUAAUUUUAUUUUAUUGUGAAAAUGAUUAGAUGCAGUUGAUCUCGAAAAUAAUGGAAAUCUUUUGACAAUUAAGCAUUCUAUUUUUUUUCUAUUUUUUUUUUUUUUAUAGUUAGACAAUCAAAUGUAGAAUCAUACAAUCGUCGAGCGUUUAAAAAACUUGUCUACAAACAGAAAUAAAAUUUCCUUCAGAGUUCAGACAAAGAAAUUUUUCUCCAAAUAUAAACGAUAGGUUUUUAGAUGAAAUUGUUGUGAGACAAUAAAAUAUCCUGUGUGAAAGCGCAUUUAAAGGAAGGAUGGUAGCAAAAUAGAGGGCGGUGAUGGCAGAGAGAAGUUGCACGAGCUGGCUUUCGCUCUGCUUGCAUUCGUAACGCGAGAAUUAUCGAUCGCCGCCAAGCAUUGCAUCAUAAAUUACUGUUUUUAUCCGCGGGCCCCUAUUUCGGGGCCCCUUGAUCGCCCCCAACCUCUCGCGCGCGUUGGAGAUUUAUCUGGAAUAUUAAAAGUCGCUUCCUGCCUCGCAACUUGACGUUCUUCCAUUUUUUUCUGUUCGAUUAUUAUUCCCUUGGAUAGCUUGGUUAAAUAAAUUUAAUUGCUGGUAAAUUUGCGAUCAGAUGGCAAAAUCUGAUAUACUAUAUAUAUUUUAUAAAAAUUGAGGCACAUUCUUAUUCAUAAAUCGUAUUUAAUAAUUUUAAACAUAAGAUAAUUCGUUUGUUGAUUAUAUAUUAAUCAAUCGUGAAUUUUUCUGUUUUGUUUUAAUAAUAACGCGAGUAUUUAAAAUUUUUGUCGUAACAAUUAUUUAUUUGGUUUAAUAUGCAAUAAAAUAUGGUUGAAAAAAAUAAAAAUAUUGAUAUACUAUUUAUAUAUGUAUAUAUAUAAUAAUGGUUUAUUGAAUAUUGUAAUUUUUCAAAGACGAACAAAUUUUUGAAAUGUUGUAAAAUUGAAAAAGAAUGAAUAUAUCAAAUUUUGCCAUCUUAGAGAAUAUUUUAAUAUUAAAAAAAAUAGUAGGAUAAAAAAAUUCCUCCAUUUUAUCAAAAAUUUAUUUAGAGUAUUUGAAAAGUUGUUUUUGGUCGUGCAUUUUUGUAUAAUUCCGAACAAAAAUUUUCUUUUUUACACUAAAGAAUUUAUGGUUGAAUACUAAAAAUCUUUUUAAUUACCUCAUAAAUAUCCAGAAUGUGUUCAGGUGUAAGAAAAUUUUUUUUUCGUACGUGUCGAAGAUUUAUCUGCAACCAAUCUUUUCUUUGCUACCGUGUUCAGUCAUGUAAUUUCAACUUUGGCGAUCAUUUAGAAUAUCCACAUGUACAUUUUCAUCAGUGCAUAAAUAUUUUCAUAUCAAAUUCAGUAACGAUUUAAUUUCUUGUAUCAUAAAAUUUAAUGUAGAAUCAUCAUUUAUAUAUCAACCAUAUUCUUUAUCUGAAAUUAAAAAUAAUUAUUGAAAAAUCCACGUAUCAAAUGUAUCAAAGUUCACGAUACAUUAAAUACGCAAAUAUAAUUUGUUAACUUAAAAAAAGAAAAUAGCAUUUUACAUAACUUCCAUUUACGAAAAAACUUUUAUUUUAAAACGCGAAUUCUUAUGCUGUCAACAUCUUUGAUCAUUUGUUAAUCAAUUGUUGAAUUAAUUGUCGUAUGUGGCUAAAUUUCAAAAUUUGGAGGAUACUCGUCGAUCAGCAAUCUUUUCCGCAAAAUGGAGUCCGGUUAAUGACCACGAUCGCCUUUGGGCCGCUCGCUAUCUCAGCUCGAUUUCGCGUUUCGCCGUGCAACGCCAUUAUCAUCGCGUAUCAUCUCUCUCUCCGUGUCGAGAGAGUUCGGUACACGCGAGAAUUAUCGACGCUCGUUGAUGCACACCGCUGUAAAUAACAGUUUUUAUGCGAUUUUUAUGCCCUACCGUUUACCCUCGCGGCCGGAGAUUUAUUUGAAAAAUUUUUAUUCGCAAAAUAAAAGAUGGAAAAAGGGGAAUAAAAAAGGGGAGGAGGAGCUCAACCCUCUUUCGCUCUUCCCGUUCGAGAUUCUUGGAGAUGGGCGAGCAUCUGCGUCGAGCCACUUUGUGCAAGGAAUAAAUUAAAAUCGUCUGUUAUCUUUGAAUAGUGAAUUUAUUCGUCAUUUGCGAAAUUUGAAAAUGAAAGAAACGAAUAAAUUUGAUGGUCCACGUUUGUUGUUGCUUAUGAUUUUUCGUUAAUUAUAAUAUGCAACGAAUCUAAAGAAUAUUCCAUUUAAUAUGAGUAGAAAAUUUACUGCAUUUAUUUUUUUUUAUCAUUCUUAUUCCGAAAUAUUACGUGCUCAAAUAAUCAAUUCUUCGAGUUUAUCAUUUUUCCAAUUAAUUCAUCUUGCUUCAAAUUCUUUUGAUUCAUUCGAAACGCGUGUCACCAAUAUUUAAAAUAAUUAUUUUAUAUAAAUUAUCGUUUCAAAUGUUUCAUUCAAAAUUAAUGUAUAAAAUAAUAAAAAUUUGAAUAACAACGAAUAACAAAAAAAAAAAAAAUAGAAUAAAAAUCGAAUAAAAUUUCCUUCAUUCGUUUAUUCGAAUAACGGCGAACACAAAGCCUUGGUGCUUGUACUUUUGCCUUAGGUAUACCCCUUGCAGCUGGCUACGUGGUGGAAUGCGUUAGUGAACACGCUGGGUGGGUGAUUUUUGCAGGGCCGUACCGGACCCUUCUCCUCUAUCUUUCCGAUUAAAAUAUUCGCGAUCGAUCGCUGGACAUUUAUAAUAUAUUUUCUGCACGACGAAUGCGUCCACGAUCGAUCGAUAUUUAUUCAACGACAAGCGCAAGAAAUAUAACUCAAUUUCUAAUUGCGAGCGCAGAUCGAAACUGGGGAUAGGGUUCGGUGACCGUCGCGAUUAAUGUAUUCCAUUCUUGACCACGAGAGGGCUUUCUUGUGGCUCCGAUCACGUGAUCGUUCAGGAUACGAAAAGGUUUUCAGUGCACGAAAAGUUUGUUUCUUGGUGAAUUAGUUGAUUUUAAUUUGAUAAAGUUUAAAUUUUGCAUUAAAUUGAGUUAUCUUAAUGCAAAUUCGAGAUUGGAAUUAUAUUCAAAAUCCAGAUACUGAAUCCCUCUUCCGAUCUUCGUUAUAUUUACGUAGAUGUAACGUUUGUGUACAAGAAUUUCCACUUAACGAAGAUCCAUCAAAGAAUGUACUUAACCAGUUUUCUCAUGUAAUUGAUUUACUUCAGGGAGAGAAGAAGAGGCGUUAAAAUCAAAUGACUUGUCUAUUGUAUUGUCAUCGUGAAUUAAAAAACAAAUUGCAAUUUCUUUUGAAAAAAAAGAAAGGAAGAGAAAAUUGCUCACCAACUCCGUAAUAAACACCGCCUAAUAAUCCUUGUAUCGAGCUGUCGGUAGUGGUAGUGGAUAAUUUUGCCGCGUAAGUAACAGCGGCGGUGAAACUAAGCGAUAAAGUGACGGAUUCUAACGCUUCGAAGAAAAGAGUGUGCCAAGGAUUGUAUAUCAAGGAGUAACCUGUAAAAUGAUGUAGACAGAUCAUUGAAAGAUUCAAGUUGGAUGUGAAUUUAAUGUUAAAAAAAUUAUCUGUGUAUUUUUAAUAAACAAAAAAGUUAUAACAAGGAAAACAUUUUGCCAGAGGAUGAUAUUCUUGAACCCUAAAUAGGGAAUGCGUAAUUAAACCGAGCACUUUAAUUAAAAUCGACACUAAAAUCGAAUUCCUCAUCCUUUCAUUCGGAUACGAUAAGAAGUUAUCUUCACGUCGAAUCUUAAUUCGUUUAUAUAAAAUAAGUGUAAAUAAAGUCGCUAAUAACCAGUUAUUUUUUUAAAUUCGUCCCAAAAGGGAGUCGUACGUUUCAUCGAGGAGAACUCGUAAGAAUUAAAUAUGAUUGCUUACCGCAAAGUCUUAUGGCGUAAAAAACGAAGCCUAUAAAAAGUACAUUGGCAUGGCCGAUCUUCGAUAUGAUUGGGCCAGAUAGUACCAGUAAUGGUAUACCGGCGAUACCGCCUACGGUUAUGGUGAUACCCAUGAGUGAUCUUGAUCCUCCUAAAUCUUGUAUCAACCAAAAGAGGAACGAUUCGAUGUAUCCCCAAGCGGUUCCUGCGGAGGGGGAGAAAAAAAUAUUUAUCUCCGGUGGAAAUCGUCGGUUCUCGCGUCAAGUUCAUUGAGAUUUUUUUUUUUCUUAGAAAAAUUUAUAAAUAUUUAUCACGGUGGAAGAAAAGUUAUUAAAUAUAUCGUAAUUCUUACUUCAUUUUUCAAUUGAGACAGAUUAGAAAUUUUAUGAAGUUAGAACGCUUUCAAAUGUUCAAUUAAUAAAUAGAGAAAAUAUAUUGUAUUAUGUAAAGCAUAUAUACUGAAUUAGUUUGCAUUUUAUAUAAAAAAAAAUAUGAAAGGAAAAAUUUUCUCAUCAAAUUUUGCCUCGCUCGGAAAAUAAAGAAAGCUUUGGCAUUGAAGCCACUUUUUAUUUUAUCCCGAUAUCUCAAUCGAUUCCCAAAAUAUAAAGAUUCAAAAUAUUUGGAGCGUUUAAGGUAAAUAUUAUGAAUGAGCCAACUACGUUUCUUCUUGGAAAUGCGUGCUGUGUUUUUCCAGGAAUCGUUUCUAUUGUCUGAACUUUGAGAUAGGUCAGUGAUGCGAGCAAGAAGUCCGAAUAACAGAUAAGAAUAAAGAUAGUAAAAGAUCUUCGGAUUCAGAAAUCGGAAUAAACAAAAAUACAAUUUAAAGGACACAAGAUUCUACGCUUCUAAUGAUCGUAAUCGACCCUUGACCGGAAGUUAUAUUCGGAUUUAAAUUUUUUUCUUGAGAUCAUUUAAAUUUGAUCUUUGUUUAAUCGAUCAAUUCCGGUUUAAUUACGUUAAUUCAAAUCAAUUUUAUGGAUUGUGAGAAAUAUCAUUUUCGUGUUUGCAUUCGAGUAUUCUACCACUACUAUGUAAUAAUUUUGUUUUAUCGACGAGGAAUGUCAAUGUCGGUGCAAUUUCGUUAUCCGACCAGUGUGUCAAAGAUUGGCGGAAACGAGCAAUGACAAGGAUUGCGCAAUUCAUUUGAGCGUAUACUUUUUCAAACGUUAUUACAAGGUUUCGUAGAAUUCAGGAAUGCAAUGAUAUAACUCGUUUAUUAACCUUAAGUGAAAUUAUCAUAAAAAGGAAAGCAGAGAUUUUUACCGAGAAUGAAACAGGCGAUGAAGAGGGCCGCAGCUUCUAUGUUCCUUAGCACGGUGAAAACAUCGCGAACGACAUUUGUGGCGGGUGAUUUGAAUUCCAAAUUAAUGGCGAGCAUCAGCACCCCUGAGAUCAGCUUUAGAGCCGCGUAUAGAUAAAAUGCUGGCCUGGAAAAUGCGCAACAAGAAUAAGAAUUUCCCUAAAUGCAAAAUUAUUUUAUCUCGAAAGUUUCUAUUAUAAAAUAUAUAAUUAUAAUUCAAGAUAAAAAAUUAAUCUUUACCUGAAAUCAGUGUAACCUUUGCCAGUGCUCGCAUAAUCAAUGAGAAGUCCAGAGAGCGGCGAUGAUAUCAUACCACCGAUGCUGCCGUAAAUCCUUUGAAGCCCAUAAUCAGCCUUUUGCUCGCGCAAUAUGGCGAUUACUGCACCCUCGAACAUGGCGAACGUUGUUCCACCGAUAACACCUGCAAGUAAAAAUCACAGACGUAUCUACAGAUGAGGCGAUCCGGCAAUAGAUUAUGAGAUACGGCACAGUAAUUACCACGAAUUGUCAGCGUUGUCGGAGCUGAAUGUUGGUCCAUUACAAAUGUAAUUGCAUAACUCGUGCAGCGUUGGACUUUGUUGGACGAGUCCGAGUGCUAAAUGGGAUUUCUAAUUAAAAAGAAGAUCGAUAAUGCCAGUUUGAGAGAGACAUUUAUGCCAAAGCAAGGACAAGUUUUUCCUAAUCGAUCCUAAUGUAUCGAGGUUCGUAGAAACAAGGAGAACUCAAGUAGUACGGAAGCAUCGUAGCUCAGUAACCCGCGACACGUUUUCUAUUCAAGGAUUGGCAUUGCAUAUGGAAUCUC